rnacentral:misc_RNA from 1 species
CGAAAUGCGAUAAGUAAUGUGAAUUGCAGAAUUCAGUGAAUCAUCGAAUCUUUGAACGCACAUUGCGCCCUUUGGCAUUCCGAAGGGCAUGCCUGUUCGAGCGUCAUUACACCAAUCAAGCCUGGCUUGGUAUUGGGCGACGGGGCCGUCACACGCCCCGCGCCCCAAUGACCCCGGCGGGACGGACCGAAUCUCAGCGUUGUGAAUCUUUCAAUGCCGCUGGCGAGACGGGACGGCCGUGCCGUGAAAACGACCCCCAUCACAAGGUUGACCUCGGAUCAGGUAGGGAUACCCGCUGAACUUAAGC